GAGUUUGAUCAUGGCUCAGGAUGAACGCUGGCGGCGUGCUUAACACAUGCAAGUCGAACGGAACGUAACCGAGGAAAUUUUUCGAAGUGGAAUCAGUUACGUUUAGUGGCGGACGGGUGCGUAACACGUGGGCAACCUGCCCUGCUUUUCGGAAUAACGCCGGGAAACCGUCGCUAAUGCCGAAUGAUAUGAGAAGAAGGCAUCUUCUUUUCAUCAAAGAAUUUCGAAGCAGGAUGGGCCCGCGCCGGAUUAGCUGGUUGGUGAGGUAACGGCUCACCAAGGCGACGAUCCGUAGCCGACCUGAGAGGGUGAUCGGCCACACUGGAACUGAGACACGGUCCAGACUCCUACGGGAGGCAGCAGUGGGGAAUAUUGCACAAUGGGCGAAAGCCUGAUGCAGCAACGCCGCGUGAGCGAUGAAGGCUUUCGAGUCGUAAAGCUCUGUCGCAGGGGAAGAAAAAGACGUACCCUGGAGAAGCCCC
rnacentral:rRNA from 1 species